rnacentral:rRNA from 1 species
AUUGAACGCUGGCGGAAUGCUUUACACAUGCAAGUCGAACGGCAGCACGGACUUCGGUCUGGUGGCGAGUGGCGAACGGGUGAGUAAUGUAUCGGAACGUGCCCAGUCGUGGGGGAUAACGUAGUGAAAAUUACGCUAAUACCGCAUACGAUCUAUGGAUGAAAGCGGGGGAUCGCAAGACCUCGCGCGAUUGGAGCGGCCGAUAUCAGAUUAGGUAGUUGGUGGGGUAAAGGCCCACCAAGCCAACGAUCUGUAGCUGGUCUGAGAGGACGACAAGCCACACUGGAACUGGGACACGGUCCAGACUCCUACGGGAGGCAGCAGUGGGGAAUUUUGGACAAUGGGCGAAAGCCUGAUCCAGCCAUUCCGCGUGCAGGAUGAAGGCCCUCGGGUUGUAAACUGCUUUUGUACAGAACGAAAAGGUUUCUACUAGUACUAGGAGCUCAUGACGGUACUGUAAGAAUAAGCACCGGCUAACUACGUGCCAGCAGCCGCCGCCG